UCUUUGUCCACACAGCCAGCAGUGACUUACGUAGGCCUCUCUGAAGUCUUGCAAGAUUUGCCCUUGGGCUGCCUGUCAUGGAGCAAGGAGAGGGUGUAGCCUCAAGUGAACAACUUUUAUCCUGGAGAUUUUCAUGAUAUAAAAGGAAAAUCAAAGGAUGAUUAAUAAUUUUGAAUCAAGCCACACUUAAUUUUAUUAAAUGUUUCAGCCUUUUCCUAUAUACACCAAACCAAUUACAGACUCAAAACAAAUGAAUUGCACAUUUCACUGGCGUAAUCUUUGGCAGAGGAAUUACCAGUGACAGAGAAUGUCAGGAGAUGAACGGAAUGGUCUCACUGCUUUUUUUCUGCCUAAAAAAAAAAAAAAAAAAUCUACCAGUGAUGAUUUGCGCUGAGUAAAUCUGCCCACACUCUUGUCUGCUUUGUGGUUAAAAUUUGUAAAUGUAUACGCAGCGCUUUAUAGUUUUUAACGAAGCUUGGGCUUUCCUACAUUGGAACUAGCCACGUGAAGCUAUUUCAGUCUAGGUUACCGUAAGUCAAGCAAAGGAACGCUUCAGUUUCUCAGUUACACUAGUCGAUUUUCAAACGCUCAGCUGCUCUUUGUAGCUAGUGGCCCCGUAUCAGGCCAUGCAGCUUUAAACAGUCUCCACUGUUGACUUUCCUGCUUUUGAUCCCAAGCAGCCACCCAGCCCCACAGAGCUGUGCACUGUGAGAUGCUAUUCCUUUGGGUUUGCUUUGAAAAGGACAGGAGGCUAUAUGCGUAUGAUGUGUUACAGGAACCAAGUGCUCCUGAAAGAUGCUUCCCAAUUGCAAAGAUGUAAGAUCUCGGCCCCGGUGGAGCACGGCACCCACAGAUGUCUGUAUGUGCUUUCCUGGUGUGACACAUCAGUCAAGGAUGCAAUUUUAGAGUUAAGAUAGAUCCUAGUCAAAAGUUUGAUCACUUUGACCUUAUCUUUUUGUCAGAUUUUGAAAAAAAAAAUCAGUGGAGGUACUGGGGUUUAGGUUAUAAAAUGCUUGGCAUGCAAAUACAAGGACCUGAGUUCUGUCAUCAGUACCCAUGUGAAAAGCUGGGCAUGGUGGCACACACUAAUAUCUUGGUGGUGCAGAGGCAAAGACCAAAGCCUCCUUGGAGCCCAUGGGCCAACCAGCCUCAUAUAAUCAGUGAGCCUUGGGUACAGUGACAGGCUCUCUCAAAGAAAACAGAUGGCUCUAGGAAUGGCACCACAUGUACAAGCAUAUACACAGCCCUCCCCCCACUCCAAAAAUGUAAACGAGAUGUUGGUAAUGGCAGUUCCCUCUGUGUGAGAUAGGAUGUGCUCUAGAAACAAGCACCUACACCCUAAACUCCUGUGGCCAGCUGUCCCCAAAGAAAUUGUAACUUCCCAAGAUAACGUUCUAAGCAUCCUUCCUACUCGUUUCUGUUUUUAAUGUAUUCCUAAACCUGUAUUCAAAGCUUUAACUACAAUCAGAUCGUUUGCUCUCCCUCUUCCAGUAAGGAUUGAGGAAUGAGCAAGACCGCAUUCACUCAUGCUAAAGGUGUACUCUGCCACUGAUAGUUAUCCUCAAACAUAGUGGCCAGGGACAUGGCUCACUGGUUGGGAGCACUUAGUCUUUGAGAGGACUCCAAAUUUGGUUCCCAGCACCCAUACCCAUGCUGGAUAAUUCAUGACUGACUGUAACUCCAGUUACAGUUAAAAACAACAACAAACAAACACACCUGUAGCUGUUUUUAGUUUGUUGUUUGUUUGUUUAAAGACAGUGUCUCUCACUAAGUUAACCAGGCUGGUCAGCUUGCUCUGUAGCACUGGAAGAUCUUGAAUUUAAAAUCUGUAUCAGUCCCCCAACUGAUAUAGUUUGUGAACCUAUAAUGCCAGAUGUGGCUUCUUUUACUCAUG
rnacentral:lncRNA from 1 species